rnacentral:rRNA from 1 species
AUUGAACGCUGGCGGCAUGCUUUACACAUGCAAGUCGAACGGUAACAGGCCGCAAGGUGCUGACGAGUGGCGAACGGGUGAGUAAUGCAUCGGAACGUGCCCAGUCGUGGGGGAUAACGCAGCGAAAGCUGCGCUAAUACCGCAUACGAUCUGUGGAUGAAAGCGGGGGACCGAAAGGCCUCGCGCGAUUGGAGCGGCCGAUGUCAGAUUAGGUAGUUGGUGGGGUAAAGGCCCACCAAGCCAACGAUCUGUAGCUGGUCUGAGAGGACGACCAGCCACGCUGGGACUGGGACACGGCCCAGACUCCUACGGGAGGCAGCAGUGGGGAAUUUUGGACAAUGGGCGCAAGCCUGAUCCAGCAAUGCCGCGUGCAGGAAGAAGGCCUUCGGGUUGUAAACUGCUUUUGUACGGAACGAAACGGUCCGGGUUAAUACCCUGGGCUAAUGACGGUACCGUAAGAAUAAGCACCGGCUAACUACGUGCCAGCCGCCGCCGUAACAC